UGGGGAAUAUUGCACAAUGGGGGAAACCCUGAUGCAGCGACGCCGCGUGAGCGAUGAAGGCUUUCGAGUCGUAAAGCUCUGUCCUAUGGGAAGAUAAUGACGGUACCAUAGAAGAAAGCCCCGGCUAAUUACGUGCCAGCAGCCGCGGUAAUACGUAAGGGGCGAGCGUUGUCCGGAAUUAUUGGGCGUAAAGAGUGCGUAGGCGGCAAAUUAAGUCAGAUGUGAAAACUAAGGGCUCAACCCAUAGAUUGCAUCUGAAACUGAUAUGCUUGAGUCAAGGAGAGGAAAGUGGAAUUCCUAGUGUAGCGGUGGAAUGCGUAGAUAUUAGGAGGAAUACCGGUGGCGAAUGCGACUUUCUGGACUUGAACUGACGCUGAGGCACGAAAGCGUGGGGAGCAAACAGG
rnacentral:rRNA from 1 species